GAUCCGUUGUCCGAGUGGUUAGAGCGUCUACCUCGGAUGCGGGAGGUCGUGGGUUCGAACCCCGGCUGAGUCA